GAUGAAGAACGUAGUGAAAUGCGAUAAGUAAUGUGAAUUGCAGAAUUCAGUGAAUCAUCGAAUCUUUGAACGCACCUUGCACCCUUUGGACUGCUCCAAAGGGUAUGCUCGUUUGAGUGUCAUUGUACUCUCACACUCUCUGAUCCUUUGGAUUUGGGGAGCGGUGGACUUGGGUGCUUGCUGCUUCCUUGUGGCUCACCUGAAAUGCAUCAGUGCAUCUCUCGAUUGGACAUAGCACGGCGUGAUAAGUGUCUUCGCCGGCACCUCAUAUGAGGGUGGCCGAUCGGGAGCUCUGUGCUUUCAAACCGUCUUCGGACAACGCUGACAACUUGACCUCAAAUCGAGUAGGACUACCCGCUGAACUUAAGCAUAUCAAUAAGCGGAGGA
rnacentral:misc_RNA from 1 species